AGUCACAAAUUAUUUACAUUAACACCAGUACACCAUGUAUACCAAAUAUCCUAUUGCAUGAUAGUCAAGAAUAUAAUUAUUUAACACCUUAGUAUUGAAUAAGACAUCAGUACACAAUUUACUCUCUAUUUCUAUAUUUUUAGAAUAGAACGUGGAAAAGGUUGUACAAAGAAGGUAAAAUCAAGUUUUGCUAUAAGACUAGGCAUCACUUUGGGACAUUUCACAAAGAAAAAAUAACCAUUUUGGAUAUACCAUUGCAGAUUUCAUUUUAGUAAGAUAGGCAAGUGUUUUAAGAAAUCAUUCAGAUUUUAUCUAAAUGGACUGUUAAUAAACUAAAACUGAUUGAAAAUAUCAGGGCUCCCCAUGGAUUAACCCAGCCCAUAUUGGGUGAUAAACAAGUCACCUGACAACAGUAAAAGUUGUGAUCUACGACGUUUCCAACUAUGCAGCAACAAAAAUAAAGUUGGGCUUGGACUAAACUAUUUCGGUAUUUCGGUAUACUGAAAUACCAAAAAAUCAAAAAUCCAAUACCGUAUACCAUACCGAAUUAACGAAAUACCAAAAUUUUUAUACCGAAAUAAACCGAAAUAUCGAAAAGACUGAAACCGAAAUACCAAAUUAAUUCGAUUCGGUUCGGAAUUUGAUUUUUCGGAUUUUAUGCCCACCCCUAAUACUAAUAGCAUGAUCAUGAAAGAUCUACUUUCUACAUUCAAAAGAUUAAUACAUAUGUUAAUCGAUCAUAUAAAGUUAUUAUGGUAUGUGACUCUAUUUAUAGUUCUAAUUGAUCAGUUUUUAGUCCAAGCAUCAAUUUGUGGUAAUUAUUUAAGGUGUCAAAAAACAUAAAUAUCAUUUAAUGAUAGGGCGUAUAGAAAUUGAUAAUUGGCACAAAUGUAUCCGUAUAUAUGAAGUAUAUUAGGACAAACUUUCAAUUUUAAGCCCUCAAAGUUUAGGGUGUGCAAAGAAUUUAAACUUUUCGCUUUUUAAGUUAGUAUCAUGUUCUAUUUUUAAAUGAAAUUUUCUAAAUGUAGUAUACGAUGUGUAUCUUGAAUAAGGUAAAAGGAAUCUAUAAUUUUAAAUCAUAGUAUUGAUCAUUUUUGUCUGACAACAGCUAUUGUCUUAAUACAAAGUUUUUUCAAGAAAACUGAAAAUAUGUAUGUGUUUGUGUGGUGCUCAUAAAGUAAAUUUAUCUCCUAAAAAGAAAAAGAUUUAGCAGCUUUUCAAACUAUAUUUCGUAAAGUUCCAAUAAUUUACUACAAUAGAAUUCACACAAAUAUAAGUGAGUUAGACAUUAAUCUUCAUUUUUUUCCAAAUUAGUGAUGGCUUUGAUAAAUGUAUGAGUAUUAUGAGACUUGUUUUUUGUAUGCAGGACCCUUCUAUUUUAGUCGUCCUAGAAAACUUGGAUUUUGUAUGUACACCAAGUGUUGUAAGACUGACAGCGACUGUAUUUGGUGCAUAUUGUGGCCCCAAGUGUCACCCUGGUGCCUUUGAGUGUUCCGUUUUCAGCCCCCAUGGCACCUGUGGUCCAUAAUUAUUAAAAUAAAAUUUGUAUUGAGAUUCGUACAAAAUACUAAAAUAAGAUUUGUACUGAAGUUGAGGUCGCAAACAAUCAUUAUGAUUAUGUAGAUAUAUCAACUUCUAGAACCUAUGAUGUGGUAAUGUAUUUUUAAAUAUUUCUCCUAAUUUUGAGUUGUUUUUUAUUGGAUUGUUGUAUAUUCCGUUGGGUGUGUUUGAGAUUUAUAUAAAAUUGUCACGAUCAAAAAUCC
rnacentral:lncRNA from 1 species